rnacentral:misc_RNA from 1 species
GAGACGAUUGAGAUCUCAAGGAGUAACCAGAUUCAACCUCCUCUUCAUCUUCUUUCCUCUUCUUUUCAACUCCAAGUAGCAUACUCCUCAAUUUUCCUGGAGAAAAUCGGCCACCCAGAGGCUUUUGGAUCCUUUCGUAAUCCAUUUCAAGUUGCAAAUUAAGUAAAAACUGGUUAUUUCAUUUGAAUAUAAGCUUUUCGAUCUCGCACCAAAGGGAGAGCGAAAUCAUGUCAUCUCGCUCCGAGUAGCAUCAGAGUAGCCCCGCCAAACAAACACCCACCUCUGCCUUUUUGCUGUGUUUCCUUG